GUGGAUUAGAUACCCUGGUAGUCCACGCCGUAAACGAUGGGCACUAGGUGCUUGGGGGAGCGACCCUCUGAGUGCCGGCGCUAACGCAUUAAGUGCCCCGCCUGGGGAGUACGGCCGCAAGGCUGAAACUCAAAGGAAUUGACGGGGGCCCGCACAAGCGGUGGAGCAUGUGGUUUAAUUCGACGCAACGCGAAGAACCUUACCUAGGCUUGACAUGCAGAGGAAAGCUCUGAGAAACCAGAGCCCUCCUUCGGGACUUCUGCACAGGUGCUGCACGGCCGUCGUCAGCU
rnacentral:rRNA from 1 species